AGAGUUUGAUCCUGGCUCAGGACGAACGCUGGCGGCGUGCUUAACACAUGCAAGUCGAGCGGUAAGGCUCCUUCGGGAGUACACGAGCGGCGAACGGGUGAGUAACACGUGAGCAAUCUGCCCUUCACAUCGGGAUAACUCCGGGAAACCGAAGCUAAUACCGAAUACGACCACUUCAGGCAUCUGAUGGUGGUGGAAAGUUCCGGCGGUGAAGGAUGAGCUCGCGGCCUAUCAGCUUGUUGGUGGGGUAACGGCCCACCAAGGCCUCGACGGGUAGCCGGCCUGAGAGGGUGACCGGCCACACUGGGACUGAGACACGGCCCAGACUCCUACGGGAGGCAGCAGUGGGGAAUAUUGGACAAUGGGCGAAAGCCUGAUCCAGCAACGCCGCGUGAGGGAUGACGGCCUUCGGGUUGUAAACCUCUUUCAGCAGGGACGAAGCGCAAGUGACGGUACCUGCAGAAGAAGCACCGGCCAACUACGUGCCAGCAGCCGCGGUAAUACGUAGGGUGCGAGCGUUGUCCGGAAUUAUUGGGCGUAAAGGGCUCGUAGGCGGUCUGUUGCGUCGGGAGUGAAAACUCAGGGCUUAACCCUGAGCCUGCUUCCGAUACGGGCAGACUAGAGGUAUGCAGGGGAGAACGGAAUUCCUGGUGUAGCGGUGAAAUGCGCAGAUAUCAGGAGGAACACCGGUGGCGAAGGCGGUUCUCUGGGCAUUACCUGACGCUGAGGAGCGAAAGUGUGGGGAGCGAACAGGAUUAGAUACCCUGGUAGUCCACACCGUAAACGUUGGGCGCUAGGUGUGGGACUCAUUCCACGAGUUCCGUGCCGCAGCUAACGCAUUAAGCGCCCCGCCUGGGGAGUACGGCCGCAAGGCUAAAACUCAAAGGAAUUGAUGG
rnacentral:rRNA from 1 species